CGGGGCAGAGCCGCGAACGGGUGAGUAACACGUGGGUUACCUGCCUCGAUGACCGGGACAACCCGAGGAAACUCGGGCUAAUACCGGAUGUGCCCGCAAGGGGAAAGGAAGCUUCGGCCUCCGCAUCGGGAUGGGCCCGCGGCCCAUUAGCUUGUUGGUGGGGUAACGGCCUACCAAGGCGACGAUGGGUAGCUGGUCUGAGAGGACGAUCAGCCACACUGGGACUGAGACACGGCCCAG
rnacentral:rRNA from 1 species